GACGAACGCUGGCGGCGUGCUUAACACAUGCAAGUCGAACGGUAAGGCCCUUCGGGGUACACGAGUGGCGAACGGGUGAGUAACACGUGGGUGAUCUGCCCUGCACUUCGGGAUAAGCCCGGGAAACUGGGUCUAAUACCGGAUAGGACUCCUGGCUUCAUGGUUGGGGGUGGAAAGCUUUUGCGGUGUGGGAUGGGCCCGCGGCCUAUCAGCUUGUUGGUGGGGUAAUGGCCUACCAAGGCGACGACGGGUAGCCUGCCUGAGAGGGUGACCGGUAAAACUGGGUGUGGGAUAAGGCCCAGACUACUAGGGGAGACAGCAGUGGGGAAUAUGGCACAAUGGGCGGAAGCCUGAUGCAGCGACGCGGCGUGAUGGAUGACGGCCUUCGGGUUGUAGACCUCUUUCAGCUAUGACGAAGCGCAAGUGACGGUAGUAGCAGAAGAAGGACCGGCCAACUACGUGCCAGCCGCCGCCGUAA
rnacentral:rRNA from 1 species